ACCUUGAGCUCUGCGCUCGUGAAACUCCGGGGAGUUUCGCGGAAACCGUAGCAUUCCGUUGUCCGCGCUUCCCUCUUUCGCCUUCCUUGAUUCCCUACUCUCGGGUCUCCCGCCCCAAAGGGCUCCCAGCUCUCGGCCUCGGAUGAAAAUAAACUCCGUGACGCGGGCGGGGACCGUCGCUGCGACCCCAGCCACGGCACGCCCCGCUCGGGCGGACGCGGAAAGCGGCGGGGCUCCUGCGGGCCGGGUGGUGCCCCAGUGGGCGAGGCCUGCCUCCUGGCGGCGGCGCGGCGCGGAGCCAGUCCCGAGCCGGAGCUCGGGAAGCCGCGGGCGUUUUGUGCGUGCGGCCGGUGGGCUCCGGGGCUUCCCUCCACCUGGGCUUCGCGCGGCAAGGCUUUUUCUUCCCCGAGGCCCCCACGUCGCCUUCUCUGGGGCAACUGGGCGUGCGCGGAGUCAUUUCCCUGGACUGUGUGUUUCGGCUAUUUUCCCUCGGCGGUUUGGGUACUCCACGAGCCCUCCCGGAGUUACGCGGGAUGCCACGCCGCAGGGCAGAGGAGGCGGCAGGACCCUCGGCAGGCACCGCCUCAGUUCUUUGCCCCUGGGCCCGGGACCUCGAGCUCAUAACGUCCAGGGGCUUCCUUCGCAAGGACUGGCACUGACUUGGGGGCGUAAACUCGCAGGCGGGAACCUCCACUACUCGCUUUAGGCCCUGGCACAUCCCAGGAGUUUACCCGGGAACGUGAAUGUGAGCGCGGUUCCAAACUCCGGUACUGUCGGGGCCUUGUCCCGCCUCCAAGUCAUUCGACUUACCUGCGUUGAGAUACUAAUUUGUGCCUGGCACUCCGGUUUUUGGAGAGAGUAACAAAAAACGGCGAGUUUCUGGGUGACUCACGGAAACCAGUACAGGGGACGUGGGUUCGAUCCCUGAUCCGAGAAGAUUCCACAUGUCACGGGGCAGCUAAGCCUGUGUACCCUAGAGCCUGUGCUCCACAGCAAGAGAAGCCGCCACGAUAACCAGCCCGCUCACCGAACUGAAGACUAGCCCCUGCUCGCUGCAACUAGAGAAACCCCGCACGCAGCAAGGA
ensembl:lncRNA